GACGAACGCUGGCGGCAUGCCUAACACAUGCAAGUCGAACGAGACCUUCGGGUCUAGUGGCGCACGGGUGCGUAACGCGUGGGAACCUGCCCUUAGGUUCGGAAUAACUCCCCGAAAGGGGUGCUAAUACCGGAUAACGUCUUCGGACCAAAGAUUUAUCGCCUUUGGAUGGGCCCGCGUUGGAUUAGCUAGUUGGUAGGGUAAAAGCCUACCAAGGCGACGAUCCAUAGCUGGUCUGAGAGGAUGAUCGGCCACACUGGGACUGAGACACGGCCCAGACUCCUACGGGAGGCAGCAGUGGGGAAUAUUGGACAAUGGGCGAAAGCCUGAUCCAGCAAUGCCGCGUGAGUGAUGAAGGCCUUAGGGUUGUAAAGCUCUUUUACCCGGGAUGAUAAUGACAGUACCGGGAGAAUAAGCGCCGGCUAACUCCGUG
rnacentral:rRNA from 1 species